rnacentral:rRNA from 1 species
UACGGAAGGCAGCAGUGGGGAAUAUUGCACAAUGGGCGAAAGCCUGAUGCAGCUAUGCCGCGUGUAUGAAGAAGGCCUUAGGGUCGUAAAGUACUUUCAUCGGGGAGGAAAAAACAAAACUAAUAAUUUUAUUUCUUGACGUUACCCGAAAAAGAAGCACCGGCUAACUCCGUGCCAGCAGCCGCGGUAAUACGGAGGGUGCUAGCGUUAAUCAGAAUUACUGGGCGUAAAGAGCACGUAGGUGGUUUUUUUAAGUCAGAUGUGAAAUCCCUGGGCUUAACCUAGGAACUGCAUUUUGAAACUGAAAUACUAGAGUAUCGUAGAGGGAGGUAGAAUUCUAGGUGUAGCGGUGAAAUGCGUAGAUAUCUGGAGGAAUACCUGUGGCGAAAGCGGCCUCCUAAACGAAUACUGACACUGAGGGUGCGAAAGCGUGGGGAGCAAACAGGGAUUAGAUACC